rnacentral:tRNA from 1 species
GGGACUGUGGCUUAGUGGUAGAGUGCUUGCCUAGCAUUCAUGAGGCCCUGGGUUCAAAUCCCCAGCACCA